AAUGUGUAACUGAAUGAGGUUUAUGUUAAAACGACAGGGGGAAAUGAAAUGUGUAACUGAAUGAGGUUUAUGUUAAAACGACAGGGGGAAAUGAAAUGUGUAACUGAAUGAGGUUUAUGUUAAAACGACAGGGGGAAAUGAAAUGUGUAACUGAAUGAGGUUUAUGUUAAAACGACAGGGGGAAAUGAAAUGUGUAACUGAAUGAGGUUUAUGUUAAAACGACAGGGGGAAAUGAAAUGUGUAACUGAAUGAGGUUUAUGUUAAAACGACAGGGGGAAAUGAAAUGUGUAACUGAAUGAGGUUUAUGUUAAAACGACAGGGGGAAAUGAAAUGUGUAACUGAAUGAGGUUUAUGUUAAAACGACAGGGGGAAUUGUCUCAUUUAAAAUUAAAAUGAAUUUCAUGCUUGUUUCAUUAUUUAAAAGUGGAGCAUGAAUUGAGUGAGUGUUUCCUGAAGCCGAUGCGUUUAGUGAUUUCCCCUACACCACCCUGCCCUACACCACCCUCCCCUACACCACCCGGCCCUAC